rnacentral:tRNA from 1 species
GGUUGUGGCUCAGUGGCACAGCACUGGCCUAGCAUGCAUGAAGCACUGGGUUCAAUCCCUGGCACCA